CCUACGGGCGGCAGCAGUCGGGAAUAUUGCACAAUGGAGGAAACUCUGAUGCAGUGACGCCGCGUGCAUGAAGAAGGAUUUCGGUUUGUAAACUGCUUUCGACAGGGAAGAAACAAGACGGUACCUGUCAAAUAAGCCCCGGCUAACUACGUGCCAGCAGCCGCGGUAAUACGUAGGGGGCAAGCGUUAUCCGGAUUUAUUGGGUGUAAAGGGUGCGUAGACGGGAAGGCAAGCCAGUUGUGAAAUCCCUCGGCUUAACCGAGGAACUGCAACUAAAACUAUCUGUCGUGAGUGCUGGAGAGGAAAGUGGAAUUCCUAGUGUAGCGGUGAAAUGCGUAGAUAUUAGGAGGAACACCAGUGGCGAAGGCGACCUUCUGGACAGUAACUGACGUUGAGGCACGAAAGUGUGGGGAGCAAACAGGAUUAGAUACCCCUGUAGUC
rnacentral:rRNA from 1 species